rnacentral:rRNA from 1 species
UACGUAGGGGCCUAGCGUUGUCCGGAUUUAUUGGGCGUAAAGAGCUCGUAGGCGGUUCGGCAAGUCAGCUGUGAAAUCUCCACGCUUAACGUGGAGGGGUCAGCUGGUACUGCCGUGACUCGAGUCCGGUAGGGGAGUGUGGAAUUCCCGGUGUAGCGGUGAAAUGCGCAGAUAUCGGGAGGAACACCAGUAGCGAAGGCGGCACUCUGGGCCGGUACUGACGCUCAUGUGCGAAAGCGUGGGGAGCAAACAGG